GGCAGGACCCUUCCACGCGUGUCACAUUGUGGGUAGACAGGCAGGCUCUGCACACUGUGCACACGCUAUCCACGCAGCAGGCCUGCACGUAUAUGCCUAUGCACUUGGGGCCCACAUGCAGUAGGCCUGCAAGUAACACCCCAGUGCGCCAAGGCCCUGCCCGUGCGCAGGCCAGCUCCUGUGCAUGGCAAGGUAGCCCGCCGCCUGCAGGCUAGGCCUCCAGCAUGUGCGCUGGGCAGGUAAGGCCACUACC
rnacentral:lncRNA from 1 species